rnacentral:rRNA from 1 species
GUUGCUGGUUCUCUAGGGAGCAUGUGCACACUUUGUCAUGUUUUUAUAUCUUCACCUGUGCAUCUUUUGUAGACUUGGAUUGAUUUCCAGGCCUAUGUAUAUCUUAUCUACUCCAGUAUAGAAUGUAUAAUAAGACAAUGGCCUUUUGUGCCUUUAUUUUUAUACAACUUUCAGCAAUGGAUCUCUAGGCUCUUGCAUCGAUGAAGAACGCAGCGAAAUGCGAUAAGUAAUGUGAAUUGCAGAAUUCAGUGAAUCAUCGAAUCUUUGAACGCACCUUGCGCUCCUUGGUAUUCCGAGGAGCAUGCCUGUUUGAGUGUCAUUUAUAUAUCAUCAGCAUUCAUUGAGUGUUGGAUCUGUGGGGGUUUGGUGGCCUUUUGAGGUCAGCUCCCCUGAAAAGCAUUAGCAGAACAAUUUAUGUUUCAUUGGUGUGAUAAUUAUCUAUGCUAUUGAAACAUGAAGCAAGUUUGGCUUCUAACAUGAAUUUC